CAUCUUGUUAUGCUAAACAAUAUUAUCCACUAAAACUUGAACUCUUGAACCAUGAAAUCAUCUCUAUACAAAUAGUGGGAUAGCGGGAUCUGGCUUCAAAUCAUUGGGACUAAACUAAAACCCAUGAAAUUCCUCAUAUUGACCAACUAUUAGCUAGGGCUAACCCAAAUGCCUCCAAGUGUCAAAGUUUCACCUGUUGUCAUGAUAACUGGUGUCCAAUAUAUAUAUUAUUAUAUAUGCAUUAUCACAAUAAUCCAAAUAGCCCAUAACAUUAUUCAUUGUGCGUCAACAUCAGUUAUUAUUAGUUAUUCCAGACAAGAACAUUUAAUCAAAGCAAUAUUUUUGUGUAUCACGUGACACAGUCCUGUUACCAGCACUGACACUGUGACAGUGACACGUGACCACAUGAUAGGCUUACAAGUUACAGCUAUGCUAACAAGUCAAGUGUGUGGAAUAACUUCCAAAUUUGAGAAAAUAAUCCUCAUAAAGUUGAGUGGCAGGUAUGCCAAGGGAAACUGGCAUUUCACAAAUCUACAGAAAACUCUGCUUUUCAGCAAUGAAAUGGCACGACCCACCUCCACCCCUGCACCACCCCAUCUGCGGACACCAAGCACCUCCUUCUACCCCCCGAUUGUUUUCUCCACAAGACCUUCCCAACUUCAGGCUCUAUCCCUCAUCACCACCACCAGGUCUAGGCUCCAGGGGAAGUUCUCUGCCUAUGAGAAGCUACAGCUAGGAUUGUCAGCUGUCUGAGGUGAUCCUCUUCCUGCCGGGGUCUAAUCGCCAAAGCCUGCUUCAUUCUCAAUAAAAUUACUUUUUCAUGUUUCCCUUA